UACGUAGGGCGCAAGCGUUGUCCGGAAUUAUUGGGCGUAAAGAGCUCGUAGGCGGCCAGUUGCGUCUGCUGUGAAAACUCGGGGCUUAACCCCGAGCCUGCAGUGGAUACGGGCAGACUAGAGGUAGGUAGGGGAGAAUGGAAUUCCCGGUGUAGCGGUGAAAUGCGCAGAUAUCGGGAGGAACACCGGUGGCGAAGGCGGUUCUCUGGGCCUUACCUGACGCUGAGGAGCGAAAGCGUGGGGAGCGAACAGG
rnacentral:rRNA from 1 species